AUUGUACAAAGGAAGCUAUACAGACAACAGAAGACAAUGCCAAUGUAUCUCCUUCGUUUUCAUGAGAAAAGCCAAGAUCCACUUUGAGAAGACACAUGAGAGAGACGGAGCUCAGCAGGAUGAGGAGACACAAAACGAGUGUCCCCACACUUCUGCUGCAUCGUCUCAUGGCCUUGUCACGGGACAGAAGCUGCAAUGUGAGGUGAGGCACCAGCAGCACCAGGAACAGCCUGAUGUUCACAGAAAAACAUGGAAGGAGGAGGUUGGUGGUGCUUUCACCUCAGCUCUGGCCAGCUGUACAAUGUUGUCUCCGUGGAAGGCACACACAAUUUUCCCCCUGCUUCACUCAAUAAUUAGAGUGAAUUUUCAUUUUAUUUUCCAGAUUAAUUUGCUUUUUUUUUUUUUUUGUCAGAUCAGGUGUACUGUUUUAUUAAAGAUGGGAAAAAUUAUACAUUAA
rnacentral:lncRNA from 1 species